rnacentral:rRNA from 1 species
GACGAACGCUGGCGGCGUGCUUAACACAUGCAAGUCGAACGGAAAGGCCCUGCUUUUGUGGGGUGCUCGAGUGGCGAACGGGUGAGUAACACGUGAGUAACCUGCCCUUGACUUUGGGAUAACUUCAGGAAACUGGGGCUAAUACCGGAUAGGAGCUCCUGCUGCAUGGUGGGGGUUGGAAAGUUUCGGCGGUUGGGGAUGGACUCGCGGCUUAUCAGCUUGUUGGUGGGGUAGUGGCUUACCAAGGCUUUGACGGGUAGCCGGCCUGAGAGGGUGACCGGCCACAUUGGGACUGAGAUACGGCCCAGACUCCUACGGGAGGCAGCAGUGGGGAAUACUGCACAAUGGGCGGAAGCCUGAUGCAGCAACGCCGCGUGCGGGAUGACGGCCUUCGGGUUGUAAACCGCUUUCGCCUGUGACGAAGCGUGAGUGACGGUAAUGGGUAAAGAAGCACCGGCUAAUUACGUG